UACGGGGGGAGCAAGCGUUGUUCGGAUUUACUGGGCGUAAAGGGCGCGUAGGCGGCCACCGCAAGUCAGUUGUGAAAUCUCUGGGCUUAACCCAGAAAGGUCAACUGAUACUGCGGGGCUAGAGUGCAGAAGGGGCAACUGGAAUUCUCGGUGUAGCGGUGAAAUGCGUAGAUAUCGAGAGGAACACCUGCGGCGAAGGCGGGUCUCUGGGCCGAUACUGACGCUGAGGAGCGAAAGCGUGGGGAGCGAACAGG
rnacentral:rRNA from 1 species